UCCCUGUUACCAGGGCAGUCUAGCUAGAGAAAUACAACUAACUAUAAGGGUUGCGCUCGUUGAUGGACUUAACCAAACAUCUCACGACACGAGCUGACGACGGCCAUGCAUCACCUGUCACUGGGUUCCUUACGGCACGCUCUGCUUUCGCAGAACUUCCCAGGAUGUCAAACCUUGGUAAGGUUCUUCGCUUACCAUCGAAUUAAACAACACGCUCCACCGCUUGUGCGGGUCCCCGUCAAUUCCUUUAUGUUUUAGUCUUGCGACCGUACUCCACAGGCGGGAUGCUUAACGCGUUAGCUUCGCUACUACCCGGGUCGAUACGUGUAACAGCUAGCAUCCAUCGUUUACAGCGUGGACUA
rnacentral:misc_RNA from 1 species